rnacentral:rRNA from 1 species
AAAUAGAUACCCAGGUAGUCCACGCCGUAAACGAUGUCGACUUGGAGGUUGUUCCCUUGAGGAGUGGCUUCCGGAGCUAACGCGUUAAGUCGACCGCCUGGGGAGUACGGCCGCAAGGUUAAAACUCAAAUGAAUUGACGGGGGGCCCGCACAAGCGGUGGAGCAUGUGGUUUAAUUCGAUGCAACGCGAAGAACCUUACCUACUCUUGACAUCCAGAGAACUUAGCAGAGAUGCUUUGGUGCCUUCGGGAACUCUGAGACAGGUGCUGCAUGGCUGUCGUCAGCUCGUGUUGUGAAAUGUUGGGUUAAGUCCCGCAACGAGCGCAACCCUUAUCCUUUGUUGCCAGCGGUUCGGCCGGGAACUCAAAGGAGACUGCCAGUGAUAAACUGGAGGAAGGUGGGGAUGACGUCAAGUCAUCAUGGCCCUUACGAGUAGGGCUACACACGUGCUACAAUGGCGUAUACAAAGAGAAGCGACCUCGCGAGAGCAAGCGGACCUCAUAAAGUACGUCGUAGUCCGGAUUGGAGUCUGC